AACGAACGCUGGCGGCAUGCCUAACACAUGCAAGUCGAACGAGCCCUUCGGGGCUGUUUGCUCACGGGUAAGUUACGUGUCGGACUCUUCCCUUGCGCUCGGGCUAUCAGCUGGUAACUCCUGCUAAUACCGGCUGAUGUCCUAAUUCCAACGAUUUAACGUCACUGGAUGCGCCCGCGGAAGAUUAGAUGGUUGGUGGGGUAAAGGCCUACCAAGGCGAAGAUCAUUAGCUGGUCUGAGAGGAGGAGCAGCCACACUGGGAAUGAGACACGGCCCAGAAUCCUACGGGAGGGAGGAGUGGGGAAUAUUGGAGAAUGGGCGAAAGGCUGAUCCAGCAAAGGCGCGUGAGUGAUGAAGGCCUUAGGGUUGGAAAGCUCUUUUAACCGGGAAGAUAAUGACAGUACCGGGAGAAUAAGCCCCGGCUAACUUAGGG
rnacentral:rRNA from 1 species